CCCUUAGACGUCCUGGGCCGCACGCGCGCUACACUGAUGCAUUCAACGAGUUUUACCUUGGCCGAGAGGCCUGGGCAAUCUUUUAAACCUGCAUCGUGAUAGGGAUAGAUUAUUGCAAUUAUUAAUCUUGAACGAGGAAUUCCUAGUAAACGCAAAUCAUCAAUUUGCAUUGAUUACGUCCCUGCCCUUUGUACACACCGCCCGUCGCACCUACCGAUUGAAUGGUCCGGUGAAGCCUCGGGAUUGUGGCCAGUUCACUUUAUUGGGAGUUGGCUGUGAGAACUUGUCUAAACCUUAUCAUUUAGAGGAAGGUGAAGUCGUAACA
rnacentral:rRNA from 1 species